AGGGCGCCGAGCAGCCGUGCGGAGGCGGUGCGGAGCCGCCCGGGGCGCGCCGGUCCCCACAGCGUGACGGUGGCAAGUUACGGACCCAGGUCUCCCCAUUUGUAAAAGCGCGUCUUUUUUUGGAGCCCCUUCCAUCGGUCCUUUAGAGCCGGUCACUAGAUCCUGGAAGCUGGUGUUUGCCUUGGUCCUCUGGGAGCAUGAUCAAGUUGGAUCCCGAUAAAGCACAGACUUCCAGUUAAAUUUGAUUCAGAUCAGCAAUGAAUCAUUUUUCAGUGUUAGGAAGCCCAGGCCCAGAAUGCAGGCGACUUGCCCAGUUUCAGGUGUACAACAUAAUCAUUCAGUGAUUACAUACGUCACAAAAUGUUCACCUCGGAGCCUGGGGGCCACGGGGCUUUCAGCUGCGCCAAGAAGGCGAAAAUCCUAUCCCCGCAGCACCCCUUUCCGCCUUCGGUGACACGAGUUACUGCUGUCGGCGGUUCCAGGGAUCGCUCAACGUCACAGUGACAAGGGAUCUCGGCAGCUUAGUGGCAUAGAUGACGUCAGAGUGCCUGGAGCCAGACAUAUUUCAACUUGGGCCAAGUAACGGAAACUUCUAAGUGCCUCAGUCUCCGCAUCUGUGAGAAAACGGAGACACAGAAAGUUCCCAUUACUCACUUAAGACCACACAGCCGGUGAGUGGCCGAGUUGGGGCACAGAUUCAGGCCUGUCGCCGUGCACAGUCUAGCGAACAUUGGCGGAUUAGAUGCUGCACUCUGGAAGGCAGGUGCCUGGGGUGUUCAGCUGAGGAGACUGAGCCUAGGGGCUGGGUGCCUUGGACCAGGCCGCAUGGGCACGUGGCAGAGCCAGGCCUUCCCGCUCUUUCUUCCGCGUCUCGGUGGCCUCCUGGGCUUCUGGACUGGGGUCAAAGCAGGUGCCCCCUCCAGCUACCAUUCCCCCUUCUUCCCAUCCAGGCCCUUCUCCCAGGAGGCUGGGCCUUGCCGUGCCCCAGAAGGUGCCCUCCUGGCCUGAGCCGGAUGGCAAGAGGCAGAGGGGAGCUCAGAGCCAGCCCUGGAAGAGGGGGGCGUGGUGCCUACAGAGGCCGAGUGGGCGGCAGGGGACCCAGGAAGGCUGCAGCACCUGGCUGGUCUCAGGAAUAUCAGUUGGAAAAUCAGAGGGGCAAAGAUGGCUUCGUUCCUCUUAGCCUGUCUUAGUCAAUUAAUUGAGCAGACGUUUCUUAAGCAUCCCCUGCUUUGAGCCAGCUACUCUGCUCCGUGCCAGGAGAGGACAUGGAGUUGAGGGUGGCUCGGUCUUGCCCUCUGGGAAGAGAAGCAGGCGAGUGGGAGGCUGAGAGGAGACGGUCCCUGAAGUAAAG